GACGAACGCUGGCGGCGUGCUUAACACAUGCAAGUCGAACGGAAAGGCCCUGCUUUUGUGGGGUGCUCGAGUGGCGAACGGGUGAGUAACACGUGAGUAACCUUCCCUUGACUUUGGGAUAACUUCAGGAAACUGGGGCUAAUACCGGAUAGGAGCUCCUGCUGCAUGGUGGUGGUUGGAAAGUUUCGGCGGUUUGGGAUGGACGCUCGGCUUAUCAGCUUGUUGGUUGGGUAGUGGCUUACCAAGGCUUUGACGGGUAGCCGGCCUGAGAGGGUGACCGGCGACCAUGGGACUGAGAGACGGAGCAGACUCCUACGGGAGGCAGCAGUGGGGAAUAUUGCACAAUGGGCGGAAGCCUGAUGCAGAAACGCCGCGUGCGGGAUGACGGCCUUCGGGUUGUAAACCGCUUUCGCCUGUGACGAAGCGUGAGUGACGGUAAUGGGUAAAGAAGCACCGGCUAACUACGUG
rnacentral:rRNA from 1 species